GCUGGGCGUGGUGGCGGGCGCCUGUAAUCCCAACUACUCAGGAGGCUGAGGCAGGAGAAUUGCUUGAACCCGGGAGGCGGAAGUUGCAGUGAGC
rnacentral:miRNA from 1 species